AAGACGGGUCAGGGAUCUGAGGACGGAUAAUUCCUCACCCCGGAUGGUGGGAUUAAGGUCCACAUCAUGUCGCCAAGUGUCUCAAGUGUCUCCAUGAUAUAGUGGUAGAGGUGAAACCCAUGAGUGUUAGGUGCUGAGCCACACCCUCUGUACGACACUGGGAGAUUCUGGGCAGAGGCUCCACCCCUGAGCCACACCCCGUAGCUUCGUUGUUUUUUUUGUUUUAAUUACCAAAGGAGAACGAAGAGUUCUGGUAAUCCAGAAACAUAUGUUCACAAGGAUCAGUCAGCCUUACCUUCCAUAACUUUGCCGACGUAUUUCUAUUUAUGGCAUCGUUUGCUGAUUAAAUACAUUUAUUUUUCCUUC
rnacentral:lncRNA from 1 species